rnacentral:rRNA from 1 species
GAUGAACGCUGGCGGCGUGCCUAAUACAUGCAAGUCGAGCGAACAGACGAGGAGCUUGCUCCUCUGACGUUAGCGGCGGACGGGUGAGUAACACGUGGAUAACCUACCUAUAAGACUGGGAUAACUUCGGGAAACCGGAGCUAAUACCGGAUAAUAUAUUGAACCGCAUGGUUCAAUAGUGAAAGACGGUUUUGCUGUCACUUAUAGAUGGAUCCGCUCCGCAUUAGAUAGUUGGUAAGGUAACGGCUUACCAAGGCAACGAUGCGUAGCCGACCUGAGAGGGUGGUCGGCCACACUGGAGCUGAGACACGGUCCAGACUCCUACGGGAGGCAGCAGUAGGGCAUCUUCCGCAAUGGGCGAAAGCUUGACGGAGCAAAGCCGCGUGAGUGAUGAAGGUCUUCGGAUCGUAAAACUCUGUUAUUAGGGAAGAACAAAUGUGUAAGUAACUAUGCACGUCUUGACGGUACCUAAUCAGAAAGCCACGGCUAACUACGUG